AGAGAAAGAGAGAGAAAAAAUAAACACAGAGAGAGCAAAAUAAAGAAAUAGAGAGACAAUGUGGGGACCAGCGCCGAGCGUGCGAGGGGACUACGGCCGGGUUAAUCGCACGUGCAGCGACCGUAUACGGCGAGGUUUGGAAGGCGGUGGUGGUAGCAGUGGUGGUGAGAUGAGAUAUAUCAGAAACGGCCUUGAGAUAAGUUCAGAAAAGUCAUUUCAACACAUGUGUCAUUGGAUUCUCAUUUUUCCCCACUUUGCAACCCUUCCAAUUUUUAGGUGGUGAAAAUGAUAUUUCA